GGUCAAGUAUAACGUAUGAGAAUUAUAGACUAUAAAAAUAACAAAUCAUAUUCUAUUUGUUACAUACAAAGAGAAAAUAAUAUGAUUAAAAUUCUCACAUUUCUUUAUGCUUUGGUUUUAUUUCUUUCCCUAUUUAUUUUCUCAAUUGCGGCUCAAAACCUAAUGAAAUGUAAUACCGAUGACGAAUGUCCCAAAUUUGAUGAUAAAUUUCCUUUAUCUUUUAAGUGCAUCAACGACGGAUGUAGAAUGGUAAUCAACGACAAAUAUAAACAUAAGACGGUACAGAAACUCUUAUAGGAUAUAACGAGUUCUUGAACACAAUAAUAUUAUACUAUAAUAGACCUUAUACUAUAAUAUUAUGUGAAUUCCUUUAAGAACACAAUAAUUGUAUUUUAAUUUAUAUUUUAUUUUGUAAAUUCACAGACCUUGAAAUGAUUGCUUUUUACUCUUAGAUGUUAUUGAGGAAAUGAUAUGUGGCACUAAAGAUUAUUUUAAUUAUAGAUUGUCUUAUUUCGUCUCACCAAAUGGUUAUAACUAGCUCGACUAUAGAAGUGUGGCAUCACCGCUAUGCGCUGAUGACUGGAUGAAAUGUAAAACUGAUGACGAAUGUCCCAAAGUUUCGAAUCCUCCUUUAUAUUUUAAGUGCAUCGACAGAGGAUGUAGAAUUGUAAUUAAAAUGAGGUUUUAAAUGCAGUAAUUGUAUUUUAAUUUAUAUUUUAUUUUGUAAAUUAUUGCUUUUUACUCUUAGAUGUUGUUAAUGAAAUGAAUUGUGGUACUAAAGAUUAUUUUAA